rnacentral:lncRNA from 1 species
AAUAAAUAAAAUAAAAUAAAAUAAAAUAUAACAGAAAAUUUUUGGACAUGGGCCUCUCUCAUUUGAGCCCACAGGUCCACUAAAAUCAGGUUAUAAAUUCAGAGUUUCAGUGAAACAAAAGAAUUCUAUUCCUAUUACCCUGGCAGGGAAAAAGAUAGUGAGAGAAGAGCUAACAGAGUUCAGAGCAACCUCCAGAGACCGAAGGGAACUCAUCUGCAAAGAGCCAAUUCCA